CGAGGUAGUAGAUUGUUCGGUGUGGGAUCGUCGGACGUGGAACUUGAUGGUAAAAGUGAGGUCACAAGAUACAUAUUUAUACAGGUUCGGGCCAGCAGAGUAGCGUAAUACCCUACAUGCUGUUUGGGGUGUUGCAUAUUGCACCUCGCGCUUGGUGUUGUUUUGCCUUGGUUUAGGCUUGAGGAUUUGAUCCUCUGUUGUGGUUCUAUGAGGUCUUUGCCUACCAAUCUAGGGACUAUAGGCUCCGAGUUUGUUUUGAGAUGUUUGGGGCGAAGGCUCGAGUAUGUUUGUCUAUUAUGGGUAGUAGCAACAGAGAUGUUCUAUAUUCUAGGAAUUUGGUACUUGCUCUCCUAAAAGUUCUUUUAGUCUGUAAGAUCCGGGUUCUGUGACCUUGGAUACGAUGUAGGGACCUUCCCAUGGUGAAUUGAGUUUAUGCAACCCUCACGUGUCCUGGAUUUGUUUGAGAACCAUGUCGCCUAAGUUGAAGGAUCGCUCCUUAAAAUUGCGGUCGUGGUAUCGUCUUAACUCGUCGAGGUAUCUGGCUGAUUGAACUAAUGUUGCGCAUCUCGUUUCUUCUAGACUGUCCAGAUCCGUGCGUCUUGUUUCUUCUGCCAUUCCUUCGUCGUAUUGUUCGACUGGAGGAGAC
rnacentral:lncRNA from 1 species